rnacentral:sRNA from 1 species
GAGCUCACAGCCACCAUCAGAAAGUGUAGCGAAAAGAAUCACCAUCUGUGACUCAGGCACGCCAAUCCCUGGGCCUCUUCCUGCACUGGGGACCCACCU